rnacentral:rRNA from 1 species
GCAGUCGAGGGGUAACGUGAGUGCUUGCACUUGACGACGACCGGCGCACGGGUGCGUAACGCGUAUAGAACCUACCUUAUAGUAAGGGAUAGCCCAGAGAAAUUUGGAUUAAUACCUUAUAGUAUGAUAAGAUGGCAUCAUUUAAUCAUUAAAGAUUUAUUGCUAUAAGAUGGCUAUGCGUUCUAUUAGCUAGUUGGUAUGGUAACGGCAUACCAAGGCAACGAUAGAUAGGGGUCCUGAGAGGGAGAUCCCCCACACUGGUACUGAGACACGGACCAGACUCCUACGGGAGGCAGCAGUGAGGAAUAUUGGACAAUGGAGGCAACUCUGAUCCAGCCAUGCCGCGUGUAGGAAGACUGCCCUAUGGGUUGUAAACUACUUUUAUAGAGGAAGAAACAGUUCCACGUGUGGAACUCUGACGGUACUCUACGAAUAAGGAUCGGCUAACUCCGUGCCAGCAGCCGCGGUAAUACGGAGGAUCCAAGCGUUAUCCGGAAUCAUUGGGUUUAAAGGGUCCGUAGGCGGGUCUGUAAGUCAGUGGUGAAAGUUUUCGGCUCAACCGGAAAAUUGCCAUUGAUACUGCAGGUCUUGAAUCAUUAUGAAGUGGUUAGAAUAAGUAGUGUAGCGGUGAAAUGCAUAGAUAUUACUUAGAAUACCGAUUGCGAAGGCAGAUCACUAAUAAUGUAUUGACGCUAAGGGACGAAAGCGUGGGUAGCGAACAGGAUUAGAUACCCUGGUAGUCCACGCCGUAAACGAUGGUUACUAGCUGUUCGGACUUCGGGUCUGAGUGGCUAAGCGAAAGUGAUAAGUAACCCACCUGGGGGAGUACGUUCGCAGGAAUGAAACUCAGAGGAAUUGACGGGGGCCCGCAC